GACGAACGCUGGCGGCAUGCCUAAUACAUGCAAGUCGAGCGAACAGAUGAAGUGCUUGCACUUCUGACGUUAGCGGCGAACGGGUGAGUAACACGUAAGGAAUCUACCUAUAAGCGGGGGAUAACAUUCGGAAACGGGUGCUAAUACCGCAUAAUAUCUUCUUCCGCAUGGAAGAAGAUUGAGAGACGGCCCGGCUGUCACUUAUAGAUGACCUUGCGGUGCAUUAUUUAGUUGGUGGGGUAAUGGCCUACCAAGACGAUGAUGCAUAGCCGACCUGAGAGGGUGAUCGGCCACAUUGGGACUGAGACACGGCCCAAACUCCUACGGGAGGCAGCAGUAGGGAAUCUUCCGCAAUGGGCGAAAGCCUGACGGAGCAAUGCCGCGUGAGUGAAGAAGGCCUUCGGGUCGUAAAACUCUGUUAUAAGAGAAGAACAAAUUGUAGAGUAACUGCUACAGUCUUGACGGUAUCUUAUCAGAAAGCCACGGCUAACUACGUGCCAGCCGCCGCUGUAA
rnacentral:rRNA from 1 species